UACGUAGGGUGCAAGCGUUAAUCGGAAUUACUGGGCGUAAAGCGUGCGCAGGCGGUUAUGCAAGACAGAUGUGAAAUCCCCGGGCUCAACCUGGGAACUGCAUUUGUGACUGCAUGGCUAGAGUACGGUAGAGGGGGGAUGGAAUUCCGCGUGUAGCAGUGAAAUGCGUAGAUAUGCGGAGGAACACCGAUGGCGAAGGCAAUCCCCUGGACCUGUACUGACGCUCAUGCACGAAAGGCGUGGGGAGCAAACGAGG
rnacentral:rRNA from 1 species